AACCCAUGGUGAGGAAACUUUCUCAAAAGGUCCAUGUAUCUCUCCCAUGCAUCGUAGAGUGUUUCUAAAUCUAUCUGGACAAAAGAAGAGAUAUCAUUACGUAAUUU
rnacentral:snoRNA from 1 species